rnacentral:rRNA from 1 species
AUUGAACGCUGGCGGCAGGCUUAACACAUGCAAGUCGAGCGGAGAUGAGGUGCUUGCACCUUAUCUUAGCGGCGGACGGGUGAGUAAUGCUUAGGAAUCUGCCUAUUAGUGGGGGACAACAUUCCGAAAGGAAUGCUAAUACCGCAUACGCCCUACGGGGGAAAGCAGGGGAUCUUCGGACCUUGCGCUAAUAGAUGAGCCUAAGUCGGAUUAGCUAGUUGGUGGGGUAAAGGCCUACCAAGGCGACGAUCUGUAGCGGGUCUGAGAGGAUGAUCCGCCAGACUGGGACUGCGACACGGCCCAGACUCCUACGGGAGGCAGCAGUGGGGAAUAUUGGACAAUGGGCGGAAGCCUGAUCUAGCGAUGCCGCGUGUGUGAAGAAGGCCUUUUGGUUGUAAAGCACUUUAAGCGAGGAGGAGGCUACCUGGAUUAAUACUCUAGGAUAGUGGACGUUACUCGCAGAAUAAGCACCGGCUAACUCUGUGCCAGCAGCCGCAGUAACAC